rnacentral:rRNA from 1 species
AGAGUUUGAUCCUGGCUCAGGACGAACGCUGGCGGUGUGCUUCACACAUGCAAGUCGAACGGAGUAGCAAUACUCAGUGGCGGACGGGUGAGUAACACGUGGGAAUCUACCAUUAGGUGGGGAAUAACAGGCCGAAAGGACUGCUAAUGCCGCAUAUGUAGGCAUCUCGACAGAGAUGUUUAUGAAAGGAGUAAUCCGCCUUUUGAUGAGCCCGCGUCCGAUUAGCUAGUUGGUAGGGUAAAAGCCUACCAAGGCGACGAUCGGUAGGUGGUCUGAGAGGAUGAUCACCCACAAUGGGACUGAGACACGGCCCAUACUCCUACGGGAGGCAGCAGUGGGGAAUUUUACGCAAUGGGGGAAACCCUGACGCAGCGACACCGCGUGAGCGAAGAAGCCCUUUGGGGUGUAAAGCUCUGUCAACAGGAACGAAACAAAUGACGGUACCUGUGGAGGAAGCAUCGGCUAACUACGUGCCAGCAGCCGCGGUAAGACGUAGGAUGCAAGCGUUGUCCGGAUUUAUUGGGCGUAAAGAGUUCGUAGGCGGUUUGUUAAGUCUGAUGUUAAAGACCGGGGCUCAACCUCGGAAAUGCAUUGGAUACUGGCAGACUGGAGUGCAGUAGAGGCUAGUGGAAUUCCCAGUGUAGCGGUGAAAUGCGUAG